UACGUAGGCAGCAAGCGUUGUUCGGAAUUACUGGGCGUAAAGAGUGUGUAGGCGGUGCUCUAAGUUCGGUGUGAAAUCACCCGGCUCAACUGGGUGGCUGCGGAGGAGACUGGGCAGCUUGAGGGGCCUAGAGGCCGGUGGAACUCCCGGUGUAGUGGUGAAAUGCGUAGAGAUCGGGAAGAACACCAGUGGCGAAGGCGGCCGGCUGGGGGCGCCCUGACGCUGAGGCGCGAGAGCGUGGGGAGCAAACCGG
rnacentral:rRNA from 1 species